AUAUAAAUAAGCUAAAAAUAAGCUUUUAGGUUCAUACCCUGACUAUAGAAAAAAUCUUUUAUAUA
rnacentral:tRNA from 1 species